rnacentral:rRNA from 1 species
UACGUAGGGGGCUAGCGUUGUCCGGAAUCAUUGGGCGUAAAGCGCGUGUAGGCGGUCCGGUAAGUCCGCUGUGAAAGUCGAGGGCUCAACCCUCGAAUGCCGGUGGAUACUGUCGGGCUAGAGUACGGAAGAGGCGAGUGGAAUUCCUGGUGUAGCGGUGAAAUGCGCAGAUAUCAGGAGGAACACCGGUGGCGAAGGCGGUUCUCUAGUACGGUACUGACGCUGAGACGCGAAAGCGUGGGGAGCGAACAGG